rnacentral:rRNA from 1 species
AUUGAACGCUGGCGGCAUGCUUUACACAUGCAAGUCGAACGGCAGCGCGGGGCAACCUGGCGGGGAGUGGCGCACGGGUGAGUAAUAUAUCGGAACGUAACCAGACGUGGGGGAUAACGUAGCGAAAGUUACGUUAAUACCGCAUACGAUCUAAGGAUGAAAGUAGUGGACCGCAAGGCCUUAUGACUUUGGAGCGGCCGCUAUCUGAUUAGCUAGUUGGUGAGGUACAGGCUGACCAAGGCGACGAUCAGAAGCUGGACUGAGAGGACGACUGGCCACACUGGAACUGAGACACGGUCCAGACCCCUACGGGAGGCAGCAGUGUGGAAUUGUGGGCAGUGGGCGCAAGCCUGAACCAGCAAUGCCGCGUGUGAGACGAAGGCCUUCGGGUUGUAAAGCUCUUUUGUCAGGGAAGAAACGGUAGAGGCUGAUAUCCUAUGCUAAUGACGGUACCUGAAGAAUAAGCACCGGCUAACUACGUG